AAAAUACGGGAGGCAGCAGUGAGGAAUAUUGGACAAUGGUCGGAAGACUGAUCCAGCCAUGCCGCGUGCAGGAAGACGGCCUUAUGGGUUGUAAACUGCUUUUGCAGGGGAAGAAUAAGGACUACGUGUAGUUUGAUGACGGUACUCUGCGAAUAAGCAUCGGCUAACUCCGUGCCAGCAGCCGCGGUAAUUUUU
rnacentral:rRNA from 1 species